rnacentral:pre_miRNA from 1 species
AAAAAGACAAACCCUGAUUUCCGUGUCCAACGUUUGACCGUCCGUCUUAUUUAAAAAAUUAUAAAAAAAUUAAAAAGAUAAGUCACGCAUAAAGUGUUAAUCAUGUUUUAUCAUCUAACAACAAUGAAAAUACUAAUUAUAAAAAAAUUUCAUAUAAGACGGACAGUCAAACGUUGGCACGGGAACCCACGGUUUGCCUUUUU